CCUACGGGAGGCAGCAGUAGGGAAUAUUGGGCAAUGGAGGCAACUCUGACCCAGCCAUGCCGCGUGCAGGAAGAAGGCGUUAUGCGUUGUAAACUGCUUUUAUAUAGGAAGAAAUAGACCUUGCGAGGUAAGUUGACGGUACUAUAUGAAUAAGCACCGGCUAACUCCGUGCCAGCAGCCGCGGUAAUACGGAGGGUGCAAGCGUUGUCCGGAUUUAUUGGGUUUAAAGGGUGCGUAGGCGGUUUAUUAAGUCAGUGGUGAAAGACGGUCGCUCAACGAUUGCAGUGCCAUUGAUACUGGUAGACUUGAGUGGGAUUGAGGUAGCUGGAAUGGAUAGUGUAGCGGUGAAAUGCAUAGAUAUUAUCCAGAACACCAAUUGCGUAGGCAAGUUACUAAGUCUCAACUGACGCUGAGGCACGAAAGUGUGGGUAUCAAACAGGAUUAGAUACCCUGGUAGUCCACACUGUAAACGAUGAUAACUAACUGUUGGCUUUCGAGUCAGUGGUACAGAGAAAUCGUUAAGUUAUCCCACCUGGGAGGUACGCCGGCGACGGUAGAACGUACGAAAGAAGUAGUAGACGNGNGAGAGACGACGACGACGACGAGGAGGGAGGAGG
rnacentral:rRNA from 1 species